rnacentral:lncRNA from 1 species
CUUCGACCUUGAUAAGAUGUAAUACAAGGUGAAGAAUAUGAAUCCUCAUGCUCCACAUGUGCACUUUCACCAAGGCUCUCAUACGCUUUGCGAAGGAAAGGGUUAUACCUUACACAAAUUCUAGGUUCGGAGUGGGAAGUGUAAGACUUCUCACAUGCCCCAACUUCAUCAUAAGAACCAUCACAAGGCCCUACAUCAUCUCUAUAUUCACCAUAAGCACUAGGAACUUCAUUCACUUCAUUUUCUCCCUCAAAACCAUAACUCUCAA